CCUACGGGAGGCAGCAGUAGGGAAUCUUCCACAAUGGGCGAAAGCCUGAUGGAGCAACGCCGCGUGGGUGAAGAAGGUCUUCGGAGCGUAAAACUCUGUUGUUAGAGAAGAAAGUGCGUGAGAGUAACUGUUCACGUUUCGACGGUAUCUAACCAGAAAGCCACGGCUAACUACGUGCCAGCAGCCGCGGUAAUACGUAGGUGGCAAGCGUUAUCCGGAUUUAUUGGGCGUAAAGGGAACGCAGGCGGUCUUUUAAGUCUGAUGUGAAAGCCUUCGGCUUAACCGGAGUAGUGCAUUGGAAACUGGGAGACUUGAGUGCAGGAGAGGCGAGUGGAACACCAUGUGUAGCGGUGAAAUGCGUAGAUAUAUGGAAGAACACCAGUGGCGAAGGCGGCUCUCUGGUCUGUAACUGACGCUGAGGUUCGAAAGCGUGGGUAGCAAACAGGAUUAGAUACCCUUGUAGUC
rnacentral:rRNA from 1 species